CGCCUGCCUCUCCCACGCCGACCGCGUCCCUCCCCCGCGUCGGCCACCUUCCUCCCCUGCUCCGGUCGCCUUCCUCCCCCGCUCCGGUAGCCUUCCUCCUCGCGCCCAGCCGCCUUCCUCCUGAUUCCCACCAGAGAACUCCCCCGUGCCGACUCCAUACACCCUGUCACCCUCCUCUCAGGUCCCUCCAUGGGACGUUGUUGGAGCUCUCCCUCUCUGUAUGGCUGGACCUAUGCAUCUUCCCACUCCGGCGAUGCGAUAUGGGGCAGAUGCGUGCAAGAAAUGAGCUGCUGGAUGACAUGGGCAAGCGCUGACGGCCGGCUUGGCGAUCUGCUCUAUGUAUUGCAGUUGACCUGUUCUCUCAAGCAGGAUUGAACUUUGCCAUGGUUGCAAUUCUCUUUGUCGGCUCCUUGUCCAUGGGGAAGCACCUCGGGCAGGGGUCGUUAGUGUGGCGUACUCGGCCGUGUUGUUGGUAUGGUCGUCGCAGAGUACUGCAGUGGCACAUAGUGGCUCUUCGAACCGCAAGACUUGCAUCCAUCAGCUGGCACCGAAUUCUGCUACUGCUCCAACCACUCAUGCCAAGAAUAGAGAACACAACUCGCAAGGUUCAGAGCAAUCUGUCAUAGUUGAUUCAGUGACUAGGUCUAGUGGAAUCCCCAAGGUGCGUGCAGAUUUAUGAAAUUGCUAUGUAUGGGGCGAGUUUUGUUUGUUGUGAGUAAUGUACUAAUGGUUAUCUGCUGCUCCUUUUUGUCAAGAACUUGUAACGAGCUUCAGUUCUGAUUUCACUCUCUCACAGUACCAUUGAUCUUCAUAGCACACCACCUGUUUGUGUAAAUACCUAUGAGAGGAUAGCACACAUGAAUACCAUACAGUGAGAUGAAAAGGUGUGUUCAAAAAAUGUCAAACAACCUGAUCCUUUCAAACAUUUUGGAUAAGUGCAAAAAUGAACGUUUGCAAGUUCAAUACAGAUAGUUCAAUAAGGUAUUCAGAGAGCUUUUUAUAGAUAAAGGUUUCCUUGCAAUUAUCAUUUUUCGUGUGUGAUCAUUUCUCCACUUAGAGCAAUUUUCAUGUGUGAUCUGUACUUUAGGUGCUAAUCUAAGAAUUUGUGUCCUCGGGGAGUUCAUGUAUUACUACCAUAGGAGUGUGAUGUUCCUUUGCUAGCAGAUGGGUGCAAGAAAGAACCAAUUUAUUUUGCAUUCAGUCACCAUUGGAGUUGGUCUUGUGCACCACCAAAUUAACUUUCUGAAGCUACCUCUAUGGUUAAGAAAAGCACGCGAGCAUCCUUCUACAUAGUAAGUUCAUAGUCAAGAAGACAGGGAGUUCAGAAAAGAACGUGAACACUGAAAGACCACAAAAAACCAAAAACCUGCAUUAGGGGAGUUCUUCAAGAAGCUCGUGGCUAGCCGGCCAUGUUGUGUAUUCUUAUCAGUUCAUUGUCAAGAAGACAAGUAAUUAGUUUAUAUAUCUAGCCUGACGUGUUGUGUAUUCUGGUCAGUUCGUGUGUGUGUAUGUGUUUCCCUUGUGGCGUAUGAGAGGAAGCCGCUGAUCUGGUCCAGGCAUGUUCCUAUUCUCUCUUUUCGGUAGCACGAACAUUUAAAAGUUUGAAUGCUAGACCCCAGUAAGUUCUGCUUGCUAAAACCUCCUCUCUCAUAUUUGUUCCUGUUUUGUAGGUUGCAGCAAAAAACAAGAUGCACAAGUUCAUAUUUUGUAUGCUUUUCGGUUCAUCUACUUCCCUGUGAUGAGUCUGAUUUCCUUUGUGUUUCAUCUUCUUCAUAUAGCACAAACAAGUGCUUGUGGUUAUGCGUAGUCCAUGGGUUCUAGUAUUUGAUUACAGUCAGGCCACGAGUUACUAUUGUGGUACUCCGUUGCAAGAAAAAUGGGUUGUCGGUUCAGUUAUAGGCACCCAACUCUGAAGAUUUUGAAUUUUUAGCAUGGUAAUUUAAGUUUGUUUUUUAUCAUAUAAUGUAAAAUUGUAAACAUGUUUCCAACGGUCUUUGCUCCCAGUUCUGAACUUCUUAUUCAGUCUGCUAGUACAGUCGUCGCGGUCGCCACCCCGACGCCUAGCCCGCCAACCCGCGUCGCGUUGCUCCGGGACACCCGAGCACUGCCGCGCCACAUCUCCGGUGCCUGACGGUGAGGGCCAGCGUCUUUGCCCGACAAAGCAGGCUACCAUCCCUCCACUGACAACGUGCAUGUCCAGCCGUUGGUGCAUCUCUCUCUGCCCGUGGAUGCUCGUGUGUUAUAGUUGGUUUCUCCCCUUCCUGUACAUGCUGCUACUCACCUUUUUAUCUCUCUGAUGCGUUGUGCUGCACUACUGCAGCUUGAUCCAGGAGGUGCUAGAUCAUGCUGACUGGAACUAGGAUGCAAAAGGGUUGACGGAUCCAUGCCGCACAAGGACUGGUGCUCUGCUUUCUUCUUACUUUGUGUUCUAAUUUGCUUUCUUCUUAUUUUCAGUUUGCGAGAUACAAAAAGAAGUUAAAAAAAUGUUGUGCCUGGAGUUCAUAUUAUUUGCUACCCCAUGAUAAUAAAAAUAAGAUGUAUGCAUUGCUUCUUGGCCCAGCUUGAGAUGAACUCUCAGUGUCUUUAGAAGCAUUCAUGGUUAAAAAGCAACGACAACCUCCUCCGUUCGAGUUGAGCACUGGUCAUCGUCCAAGUUGAGCACUAGGUGUCGUCCAAGUUAAAAAAGAGUUGUAUGCACGUACAGAAGUUUGCUUUAGUGAGAAAUAUGCAUACUGUCUUCUAUAACUCAUUUCACUUCACAGUUUCUUCACUUGUUUGUUGUUUCCUAAUUAUCCUAAUUCCUAAAUGUUCUACUCAACUUCAGCGCCAUGCUCGGUCCAACUCCGUGGCUUCAGGGUGGCCGAGUUCAUCGCGACCAUCAGUUCGGAGACCUGCGUCACACUGCCCGUGUCGCUACCAUGGCCACCUGCAUCACUGCGUGCUCCGUCAACAGCCUCUUGCACAAGGAAAAGCAACAGGAGUAGAGACGUCUGAGAUGCUCUGUUCUAGCGAGGUGGCUGAUUAUGUUUGUCAGUUUGUAAUACUUUGGCCGUAGUGUAGUUAUGUAUCUUUUUCUGGCCGGAGCACGACCAGAGCUUAUGUCAGUACGAACUUUGAUUGUGAUGGUACUACAAACUCUAUAAAAACAUCAACAAUCCAUUUUUAGUGUUA